ACGGACUCACUAGGAGGACCUAGACUCUUUCAGCUUGAACUGUUAACCAAUGGUGGAAAUGCAAGAAUGCUGAAGUUGUGCCUUCGGAGCCAAUAGAGUGGAUUUGUGUGUCCCACAUGACUGUGUUUCCCCUGUCUUUCACAUGGGCAGUAUUUAGUUCAAUUCAGAACUGCAGAUAGUAUAGCGUGCAGAGCAGCAAUGGGAUGUCUGAGCACAAGUGGCUGACUUCCAGGCGACUUCAGGAAGCACAUUUGUACAUUUCUCCUGAAUUAAACUGGGAUUCUGCACCCUUGACAUCCUCCGACCCUCCUUGUCUCUGCAGAAGGAGACAGUGACCUGCACAGCACAUCAAACUAUUUCUUAAAAACAAAUGCAGACAUUUGCCAUAAGGUAAAUGGAGGUUGGGCACCUUUGCCUUCCAGAGCUGGUAACUCUACCUUUCACUGAGAUUAACAAGACCUACAAAGUCUCUCUUCAAAACAAACGACAAACCAUCACAGAGCUACAGACCAGCAAAUGAAGUGAACUGAGGGCAAUUUGACCAACAUCACCUGUAUCAGUUCCCCAGAAGUCGAUGAAACAUGUUACCAGGUCUCCAAGUUUUCAUUUUACAGAAGACCACAAGGCCUCAGAAGAUUGUUGUGGGGAAGAAAUACACUGGGCCAACCUAUCAUGUCUGUAUUACACAAAGAACAGCCCAGUUCGGUAUUCUUUCUACUCUGGAGGAAUCUCACAUCAGAGGCUUUGUGGAAACAAGUGCAAAGAAAAAUUACUCAUUUCUCUUCAGCUGAACUCUUGAACCUGCAACCUUGAUCCAUAGCAGGUCAGACCAUCAAGAGGAAGAAAAGGACUGAAGACUGAAGAUGAGAUGCUCUACUUCACACAGUUGCCCUCUGGAAGGACUGGCAAAGGCAGUCACUUAAAUUAAGUACAGGUCAUCAGAGAAGAUACCUAAUCUAUUUCCAAGACAGGCAGCUCUAGCAGUCCAAAUCCCUAUGGCCUUUACAGUGACACAAUGUACUACUUCCUCAUGUACCUCUGUCAAUUCAUGUUAGGUUCCAAUUUUUUAAAGCAAUAUUUCAUGUACACCAUGACCCUAUUGCUCAUAGCAAGGAAAGUGCUUUGGUUUAUUUAUGACCUACUAACCUUAAAUAAAAAAAACCCAUACAUCCAAUCUGAAUGUUCACAUAAGCCUGCAGAUCUGAAAUAAAAUUUAAAAUAAAGUUGGCAUUUGUAACAGCUAGCUAAGACUGGGAUUUGAAGGGAAAAAAAAAAAAAAAAGGACGAGAGAUGAAAGCGCUUUUACCCUGCAUAACCUGCAUACAUCAGGAAUCAGGGCUGGAGCUGAGGAAAAUUUUUUUGUGGUUUUGUACUUACAAGUUUCAGCCCAUUUCAACAGAGUAUAGGUAACCAAGGAAAUAUUGAGGUUUUUCCAUUGUGGGGGGUGGAGAGGGAAUAAUAACAACUUGUGAAAGUAAUUCCUUCUAAGAUGCAAUCCACGCAGGUGCAAGCUCUACAUCGGUGCUCUCCUUGCCCCGCACCCCAUCUUUAACUGCCAGGUAUCAGGCUGGCAAGACCUCAUAUUGAAAUAUGAAGUGACAGAUGAAAGCAGAGAAUAAGAGCACAGGAAUAAGUACUGAAAGAAAUGGUGUACAGAAAGAAAGCUUAUAAUAGGGUGGAUAUUAAAUAUGAGCAACCAUAAAGUCUAUUCAUUUGGCUAGAACAAUGUUGAACAGAUGCAGAUGCACAAACGGCUACUGAGUUGGAGAGUCUCUCUUCACUCAUGCUGGGGUAAGGAACUUUUUUCUUAAUACCCAUGGAAUUAAACUGUGGAAAAGCCAGUAAAAAUAAAUGGAGGAAAAAAUAGCCCAAAACUUCAGAGCUAAAGUACUGGCAGCAAAUAAUCCCAUGCUGGGUGUAUCAGCAAAGAAAAAAGGGGAGGGGGGGAGUUGACAGCCACAUUGGUUAGAUUUCAGAUAUAGUCAUAAUCACAGUGGCCUUUCUAAAUAAAACACAUCUAAUCUACCAUAAAGGAGAAAAUUAGUUGAUUCCAUUCUUGUCUAGUUCUCCAAUAGGCUAUAUUAAUAACUCUAGAUAUAUUUGAUAGAAAAAUACAGUUGAGUUAAAUGAUGUAAUAAAUACCUCUACAUGAAGAGCAAUUAGUUGAAACAAACAUCUAGGAAAAAGUGCUCGUCAUAGUUUUUGUUCACAAAAUACUUAUGAAAUGCAGUCUUUGAUGUUGAUUCCCUUUAUCCAAGUACAGCCAAAUUUGACAAAACCCCCAACAUUUAUAAAGAUUUUUAAAUUAAUCAGAAAUGGAAGACAAAGGGUAUGACAUCUUUUACCAAAGGAUAAAAUAAACAAACAACAAUGCAUAGAAGCCAAUGAGUCAGUCACAUGAUUUCAGUGCAGCAAGCUGAGUGGACCUAACAAAAAAGAAUUUUGACCAACUGAGCUGCAAGACCACCUUCUAUAGGAGAACUGCUCACAAACACAAAUGAGGUAAAAUUCCUAGGUUACCAUAUUUUGCUUUCUGAUGCAGCCUCUAAAACCCUUUCUCUGCAACAUGAAAAUUGCAACUCUGCAUAUAUAUUUUUUUUUAAUUUUUAUUUAUUUAUAUUAAGAAUAAGGGCAAUUUGAGUUGAAAAGCUGAGAAGAUUGGGAAAAAAGUGUGCUACUGUGGAAAUUUUUAAGAAUAGGCACUUUAUGAUGUGAUGAUAUGGACAACAUGUUGGCACCUAAAAAAACAUAUAAAAAGAAACUUAAUUUAUCAAGUUUUGAUACACAUUCACCUUUUUUCCUACUGGAAACUAUAACAGGUUCAGCACGUGUGACAAUUUGUAAAGAAAUGGCCUGCUGUCUAAGGCAGUUAUUGAGAAGUUAAGCCUUCUUAAAGGAGAAUGUAGUUUUCAUCAAUUCUAAGCAAGUUUAAUCCAACUCAACCAUGUCAGCAGAAGACAUUUGUACUCAAUUAGGCAAUCUGUAAUUGGCAACACUGAUUCAUAAGUCUCUUAGCCAGCUCUGUUCAUAUAUGGGAUCUUGUGUUUUGUUUUGCUGUGAAGUUCAGUUUCGUGAAAUAACAGACAACAUUAAGCCACUUGUGUCUGGAUCCCCAACCUAUAUUGUUAGAGCCUGAAUAAGUGAAAUGUAUUUUCUUUUCAUAGAAAGAAGUUUGGAAAACUGCCAGCUCCUUGCACAAAAACUGAAAUAGGAUGGGCAGAGAAGGGUGAUGGUAUCGGUAAGAGAAAAAUGAUUGAAGUUGCAUCAACUGUAUGAUUAAAAUGAUUGUGUGAAAUUUGAUUUCCCCCCCCCCUCCUCCUUUCAGACAUUUGAGGAUGCUGUCAAGUCAAUGGAGUUCUGUUGUAGUGGUUGCUUCAGUGAACAUUCAACGCUGUCGGUGAGUUUGGAAUUAAAGUGAAAACCAUCGACCGUUGAUUGUACCCUCCAGCUAACCAUCCUCCUCCUUACUUCAUGCUUUCAGGCCUUAACACCGAAGAUAGCAACCUAACCACCACGUGAUGUUUCUCCCCCACCCUGCCAAGCUUUACAAAAAAGGUCACAAUCAACAUUCAUUGCUGUCGGUGGGUUUAACUAUGUGGACAAGCUCACUGAACAAUGAAUGCAACUGUGGCCCCACAUUUUACAGUUGCCAUUGAGAGGAACAUCAGCUCUGAAAGCAGUAGUGAGAAGCAAACACUUCUUACAGGCUACUUUUUUUCUGGUCAAAGAAAUACUUGGGGAUAUUCACUUUUUGCUUGCUUGUUUGUCUUUAACUCAGCUGACUAGAAAAAAAAAAUAAAAUAAAUCACUGCCUUUCUGGAAUAUUGUCCUUCCAGGGUACAUCAUCAUUGAAAACAAAAAUUAUUAUUCAGUAUGUAUAUGGAAAUAAAUAACAAUACAGGCAAUGUUGUGCAUAUCCACUCCUAAGGACUCUGAACAUAAGAGGAAAGAAUAUUUAAAUCUUAUUUUAAGUAGGUGUUGUGGAAUAGUUCUGAAAUGUCUUCUAUACUUGUCAUGGGAAAAACAAAUGGAGCCAGAGUUCAGAGAUUCAGGUAAAAUGUUCUAUCAAAUAAAAGAUUAAUUUUACAUGAAAUUGAUCUUAAGCACCUACAUAAAUACUAUUAGACAGCAAAUACUAUUACAUUUGCCUUUUUUUAGGUAUCUGAAAGAUGACAGAGAAAUGUAUAUUCAGAAAUAAUAAUGGAACAAUAGUUGAAUUGUAAAAUUAUUGCAAACUUUGGGUACCUAUGUCACAUUCUUGGUAUUGCUGAUAGUAAUGAGAAAAUAAAAAUGUAAAUAAACCUCA